CAAGCCAUUUAGUGCUUCAACGCAAUGUUUCCGAGUUCUUAGCCCAUUUGGGACCCAAUUUCAACAAGUGUUUCUCCAAACUUCUAAACGCUCUUCAUGAUGUUGUAGCACUUGUAAUCAAUAGAACUUAUUGUAUUCUAACAUAUUCUAACCCCAAAAAACAGUAGACAAGCCAUUUAAUGCUUGAAAGCAAAGGUUGUGGGUUCUUAGCCCAUUUUGGAUCAAAUUUCAGCAAGUCUUUCUACACUCUUCUAAACAAUCUUCAUCCAUCUCUAGCACUUGAGAUGAAUCAAUUUCAUUGUAUUCUAACAUAUGUUUUACCCCAAACAGCACAACACAAGCCAUUUACUAGUUCAACGCAAUGUUUCCGAGUUCUUAGCCCAUUUGGGAAUAAAUUUCAACAAGUCUUUCUCCAAACUUCUAAACACUCUUCAUGAUGCUCUAGCACUUGUAAUAAAUCAAACUUAUUGUAUUCUAACAUAUUAUAACUCUAAAAACAUUAGACAAGCCAAUUAAUGCUUGAAAGCAAUGGUUGUGGGUUCUUAGCCCAUCUCGACCCAAAUUUCAGCAAGUCUUUCUACACUCUUCUAAACACUCUUCAUGCAUGUCUAGCACUUGUAGUCAAUCAAAUACAUUGUAUUAUAACAUAAUAUUACCCCAAACAACACUAGACAAGCCAUUUACUGGUUCGACGCAAAGUUUCCGAGUUCUUAGCCCAUUUGGGAGCAAAUUUCAAGAACGCUUUCUCCACACAUCUAAACAUUCUUCAUGCAUAUCAAGCACUUGUGAUCAAUCAAACUUAUUGUAUUCUAACAUAUUCUAACCCCAAAAAACACUAGACAAGCCAUUUAAUGCUUGAAAGCAAUGGUUGUGGUUUCUUAGUUCAUUUCGGCCUAAAUUUCAGCAAGUAUUUCUACAAUCUUCUAAACACUCUUCAUGCUUCUCUAGCAGUUGUAAUCAAUCAAAUUAAUUUUAUUCUAACAUUACCCAAAACAACACUAGCCAAGCCAUUUAUUGCUUCAACGCAAUGUUUCCGAGUUCUUAGCCCAUUUGGGACCCAAUUUGAACAAGUCUUUCUCCACGCAUCUAAACACUCUUCAUGCAUCUCUAGAACUUGUAAUCAAUCAAAAUUAAUGUAUUCUAACCUAUUCUAACCCCGAAGAACACUAAACAAGCCAUUUAGUGGUUCAACGCAAUGUUUCCGAGUUCUUAGCCCAUUUGGGACCAAAUUUCAACAAGUCUUUCUCCAAACUACUAAACGCUCUUCAUGAUGCUCUAGCACUUGUAAUCAAUAAAACUUAUUGUAUUCUAACAUAUUAUAACCCCAAAAAACAGUAGACAAGCUAUUUAAUGCUUGAAAGCAAUGGUUGUGGGUUCUUAGCCCAUCUCGGCCCAAAUUUUAGCAAGUCUUUCUACACUCUUCUAAACACUCUUCAUGCAUCUCAAGCACUUGUAAUUAAUCAAACUUAUUGUAUUCUAACAUAUUCUAACCCCAAAAAACAGUAGACAAGACAUUUAAUGCUUCAAACAUAUGGUUGUGGGUUCUUAUCCCAUUUCGGCCCAAAUUUCAACAAGUCUUUCUACACUCUUCUAAACACUCUUCAUGCAUCUAUAGAACUUGUAAUCAAUCAAAUUUAAUGUAUCCUAACCUAUUCUAACCCCAAACAACACUAAACAAGCCAUUUAGUGGUGCAACGCAAUGUUUCCGAGUUCUUAGCCCAUUAGGGACCAAAUUUCAACAAGUCUUUCUCCAAACUUCUAAACACUCUUCAUGAUGCUCUAGCACUUGUAAUCAAUCAAACUUAUUGUAUUCUAACAUAUUCUAACCACAAAAACACUAUACAAGCCAUUUAAUGCUUGAAAGCAAUGGUUGUGGGUUCUUAGCUCAU
rnacentral:lncRNA from 1 species